rnacentral:rRNA from 1 species
CCUACGGGAGGCAGCAGUGAGGAAUAUUGGUCAAUGGGCGCAAGCCUGAACCAGCCAAGUCGCGUGAAGGAUGACUGCCCUACGGGUUGUAACCUUCUUUUAUAAAGGAGUAAAGUGAGGCACGUGUGCCUUUUUGUAUUUACUUUAUGAAUAAGGAUCGGCUAACUCCGUUCCAGCCGCCGAGGUAAUACGGAGGGUCCGAGCGUUAUCCGGAUUGAUUGGGUUUAAAGGGAGCGUAGAGGGGAUGUUAAGUCAGUUGUGAAAGUCUGCGGCUCAACCGUAAAAUUGCAAUUGAUACUGGCAGACUGGAGUAUAGUCGAGGUAGGUGGAAUUCGUGGUGUAGGGGUGAAAUGCGUAGAUAUCUGGAAGAACACCAGUGGCGAAGGCGACUAUCUG